AAUCAACGCUGGCGGCGUGCCUCAGACAUGCAAGUCGAACGCGAAAGUUCCCUUCGGGGAGCGAGUAGAGUGGCGCACGGGGUGAGUAACACGUGGAUAAUUUACCUUCGGGUGGGGAAUAACAACCGGAAACGGUUGCUAAUACCGCAUAAUGCAGCGGCAUCUAUGAUGACAGUUGUUAAAGCGGGGGAUCGCAAGACCUCGCGCCUGAAGAGAAGUCCGCGGCAGAUAGCUAGUUGGUAGGGUAAUGGCCUACCAAGGCGACGAUCUGUAGCCGGCCUGAGAGGGCGGUCGGCCACACUGACACUGACAUACGGGUCAGACUCCUACGGGAGGCAGCAGUCGGGAAUUUUGGGCAAUGGGCGAAAGCCUGACCCAGCAACGCCGCGUGAAGGAUGAAGCAUUUCGGUGU
rnacentral:rRNA from 1 species